UACGGAGGGUGCAAGCGUUGCUCGGAAUUAUUGGGCGUAAAGGGUAGGUAGGUGGUCUCAUUUGUCUGGGGUGAAAGCCUUGAGCUUAACUCAAGAAGUGCCCCAGAAACGGUGAGACUAGAGUCCUGGAGAGGGUCGUGGAAUUCCGAGUGUAGAGGUGAAAUUCGUAGAUAUUCGGAAGAACACCAGUGGCGAAGGCGGCUCACUGGCCCGGUACUGACGCUGAGAUACGAAAGCGUGGGGAGCAAACAGG
rnacentral:rRNA from 1 species